UAGACUUGGCAGUAAUGUUUUAAACUCCACCAUGCACGCAAGUUUAAACACGAGCAGCACAGCUGUAUACCUGGCUGCUUUCAGCGUGAUUCAUUACAGAGCUAAACGGGUGAGUUGCUUUAUAAAAGUGUAUUUUUUUGGUCUUGUAAUUUACAGGAAGCAGACAACUCAGAGACAAACUAGCAGGCGCUACGAACCGGAGCUAGGACUAACGUCGCUUCAUAACGAGGCUGUGACCUAUAUUUGCUCGGAGCUAUGUCUGCAAGUCCAGAUUUAAAUCACGCUGAUAAUUACGCCAUUGUGUCUGCCUGUAGGACAUAUUACAAGACAGCACGCUGGAGCUUCAGGUAAGCAACCAGAUCUGGCAUCGUGGGCAGAAGCUGUGAAGAGUUCAGCUCGGAGUCGGUCGAGAAGAAAAGAGGCUGAGACAGAGUGUGCUGCCUGCGGGUGAGGUGGACAUUUGGAAGUGCGCCACCAUAGACCUGAUGAUCCAAAAUACAGGACAACGCACCACAGACGUCUGCAAAAUGGACCGAAUUCAGACAGAAUGCUGCUGGUUACCUACAGCUCCGAGGCGGCCGCGGGUUAGGGGUUGACGGUGCUGUAGGAUUUGGCUUGUCGUGAGCG